rnacentral:rRNA from 1 species
GACGAGGCACUGCGGUGCUGAAGCAACAAAUGCCCUGCUUCCAGGAAAAGCCUCUAAGCAUCAGGUAACAUCAAAUCGUACCCCAAACCGACACAGGUGGUCAGGUAGAGAAUACCAAGGCGCUUGAGAGAACUCGGGUGAAGGAACUAGGCAAAAUGGUGCCGUAACUUCGGGAGAAGGCACGCUGAUAUGUAGGUGAAGUCCCUCGCGGAUGGAGCUGAAAUCAGUCGAAGAUACCAGCUGGCUGCAACUGUUUAUUAAAAACACAGCACUGUGCAAACACGAAAGUGGACGUAUACGGUGUGACGCCUGCCCGGUGCCGGAAGGUUAAUUGAUGGGGUUAGCGCAAGCGAAGCUCUUGAUCGAAGCCCCGGUAAACGGCGGCCGUAACUAUAACGGUCCUAAGGUAGCGAAAUUCCUUGUCGGGUAAGUUCCGACCUGCACGAAUGGCGUAAUGAUGGCCAGGCUGUCUCCACCCGAGACUCAGUGAAAUUGAACUCGCUGUGAAGAUGCAGUGUACCCGCGGCAAGACGGAAAGACCCCGUGAACCUUUACUAUAGCUUGACACUGAACAUUGAGCCUUGAUGUGUAGGAUAGGUGGGAGGCUUUGAAGUGUGGACGCCAGUCUGCAUGGAGCCGACCUUGAAAUACCACCCUUUAAUGUUUGAUGUUCUAACGUUGACCCGUAAUCCGGGUUGCGGACAGUGUCUGGUGGGUAGUUUGACUGGGGCGGUCUCCUCCUAAAGAGUAACGGAGGAGCACGAAGGUUGGCUAAUCCUGGUCGGACAUCAGGAGGUUAGUGCAAUGGCAUAAGCCAGCUUGACUGCGAGCGUGACGGCGCGAGCAGGUGCGAAAGCAGGUCAUAGUGAUCCGGUGGUUCUGAAUGGAAGGGCCAUCGCUCAACGGAUAAAAGGUACUCCGGGGAUAACAGGCUGAUACCGCCCAAGAGUUCAUAUCGACGGCGGUGUUUGGCACCUCGAUGUCGGCUCAUCACAUCCUGGGGCUGAAGUAGGUCCCAAGGGUAUGGCUGUUCGCCAUUUAAAGUGGUACGCGAGCUGGGUUUAGAACGUCGUGAGACAGUUCGGUCCCUAUCUGCCGUGGGCGCUGGAGAACUGAGGGGGGCUGCUCCUAGUACGAGAGGACCGGAGUGGACGCAUCACUGGUGUUCGGGUUGUCAUGCCAAUGGCACUGCCCGGUAGCUAAAUGCGGAAGAGAUAAGUGCUGAAAGCAUCUAAGCACGAAACUUGCC